rnacentral:rRNA from 1 species
CACGAAAUUCAAUGAGCUAGCUGUAAUAUGUGUAUUGACAGAAAUAUGUAGCAUAAUAUUAUAUAAAAUUACCGCUAGGGGUGAUAGGCUUACCAAAGUGAAUGAUAACUUGUUUUUCUUGAAAUAUAUUAAGUAUAUAAACCAAAUUUAAAGUUAUAAGGCUUUAAAUGGUAAUUAAAGAACAUUAAAUGAUAGUAUCAAGUUUAAUAGCAAAUACAAUUGGAUUAUAGUAUAAGAUUGUAAAAGUAUAUUGAUAGUAAAGAAAUAUAAAUAAAUUAAUAUAUUUAUUAAUUCUGUUAACAUAAGUAUAAUAUAUAGGUAAUUUUAAUGAACUCGGCAAUUGUAACCCUCAACUGUUUAUCAAAAACAUAGCCUGCUGAGUAUAUAGUUGGGUGAUUUCUGCUCGGUGAUUAAUUUAACAGCCGCAGUACCCUGACUGUGCAAAGGUAGCGCAAUCAAUUGGCUUUUAAUUGGAGUCCUGUAUGAAGAAGAUAUGGGGGAUGACUGUAUCAUUUAUAAUUUUAGAAAUUGCUAAGUAGGUGCAAAAACCUAUAAUUAAAUAAUAGACGAGAAGACCCUAGAAAUUUUAAGAAUUUGUUUUAUAAACUUUUUGUUGGGGCAACACAGUAAGAACCUACAAGGUUGACAUGAAAUAUUAUAGAACGUAUAAAUUACUCUAGGGAUAACAGCAUAAUUUGUAAGAGUUUGUGACCUCGAUGUUGGACUAGGAAAUUAGCGUUUAGAA